rnacentral:rRNA from 1 species
GCACCAGGCGCGAAAACUUUACAAUGCCGGCAACGGCGAUAAGGGAACCUCGAGUGCCAGGUUACAAAUCUGGCUGUCGUGAUGCCUAAAAAGCAUUGCAUAGCAAGGGCCGGGCAAGACCGGUGCCAGCCGCCGCGGUAACACCGGCGGCUCGAGUGGUAACCGUUAUUAUUGGGUCUAAAGGGUCUGUAGCCGGCCGGAUAAGUCUCUUGGGAAAUCUGGCAGCUUAACUGUCAGGCUUUCAGGAGAUACUGUCUGGCUCGAGGCCGGGAGAGGUGAGAGGUACUUCAGGGGUAGGGGUGAAAUCUUGUAAUCCUUGAAGGACCACCAGUGGCGAAGGCGUCUCACCAGAACGGACCUGACGGCAAGGGACGAAAGCUAGGGGCACGAACCGGAUUAGAUACCCGGGUAGUCCUAGCCGUAAACGAUACUCGCUAGGUGUCGGCCACGGUGCGACCGUGGUCGGUGCCGUAGGGAAGCCGUGAAGCGAGCCACCUGGGAAGUACGGCCGCAAGGCUGAAACUUAAAGGAAUUGGCGGGGGAGCAC